UACGUAGGGACCGAGCGUUGUCCGGAAUCAUUGGGCGUAAAGAGCGUGUAGGCGGUUAGGUAGGUCCGUUGUGAAAACUCGAGGCUCAACCUCGAGACGCCGAUGGAAACCAUCUGACUAGAGUCCGGAAGAGGAGAGUGGAAUUCCUGGUGUAGCGGUGAAAUGCGCAGAUAUCAGGAAGAACACCCGUGGCUAAGGCGGCUCUCUAGUACGUGACUGACGCUGAGACGCGAAAGCGUGGGGAGCAAACAGG
rnacentral:rRNA from 1 species